rnacentral:rRNA from 1 species
CCUACGGGAGGCAGCAGUGGGGAAUAUUGGACAAUGGGCGAAAGCCUGAUCCAGCAAUGCCGCGUGAGUGAUGAAGGCCUUAGGGUUGUAAAGCUCUUUUACCAGGGAUGAUAAUGACAGUACCUGGAGAAUAAGCUCCGGCUAACUCCGUGCCAGCAGCCGCGGUAAUACGGAGGGAGCUAGCGUUGUUCGGAAUUACUGGGCGUAAAGCGCGCGUAGGCGGCGAUUCAAGUCAGAGGUGAAAGCCCGGGGCUCAACCCCGGAACUGCCUUUGAAACUAGAUUGCUAGAAUCUUGGAGAGGUCAGUGGAAUUCCGAGUGUAGAGGUGAAAUUCGUAGAUAUUCGGAAGAACACCAGUGGCGAAGGCGACUGACUGGACAAGUAUUGACGCUGAGGUGCGAAAGCGUGGGGAGCAAACAGGAUUAGAUACCCAGGUAGUCCACGCCGUAAACGAUGAUAACUAGCUGUCCGGGCACUUGGUGCUUGGGUGGCGCNGCUACGACAUUAAGUUAUCCGUCCGUCGGGAGGUACGGUCGCGAGAAGUUAAACUAACUAAUAGUAAGUUAGACGUCGUUGAGACGUUGCCGACGGCGACGACGAGGGAGGAGG